rnacentral:rRNA from 1 species
GAUGAACGCUGGCGGCGUGCCUAAUUCAUGCAAGUCGAGCGAAUGGGUUAAGAGCUUGCUCUUAUGAAGUCAGCGGCGGACGGGUGAGUAACACGUGGGUAACCUGCCCAUAAGACUGGGAUAACUCCGGGAAACCGGGGCUAAUACCGGAUAACAUUUUGAACCGCAUGGUUCGAAAUUGAAAGGCGGCUUCGGCUGUCACUUAUGGAUGGACCCGCGUCGCAUUAGCUAGUUGGUGAGGUAACGGCUCACCAAGGCAACGAUGCGUAGCCGACCUGAGAGGGUGAUCGGCCACACUGGGACUGAGACACGGCCCAGACUCCUACGGGAGGCAGCAGUAGGGAAUCUUCCGCAAUGGACGAAAGUCUGACGGAGCAACGCCGCGUGAGUGAUGAAGGCUUUCGGGUCGUAAAACUCUGUUGUUAGGGAAGAACAAGUGCUAGUUGAAUAAGCUGGCACCUUGACGGUACCUAACCAGAAAGCCACGGCUAACUACGUGCCAGCAGCAGCCGCAG